rnacentral:rRNA from 1 species
UACGGAGGGUGCGAGCGUUGUCCGGAAUCACUGGGCGUAAAGGGCGCGUAGGCGGUUCGUUAAGUUGCUGGUGAAAUCCCGGGGCUCAACUCCGGGGCUGCCGGCAAGACUGGCGGGCUAGAGCACGGUAGAGGCGGAUGGAAUUCCCGGUGUAGCGGUGGAAUGCGUAGAUAUCGGGAGGAACACCGGUGGCGAAGGCGGGUCUCUGGGCAACUCCUGACGCUGAGGCGCGAAAGCGUGGGGAGCAAACGGG